rnacentral:rRNA from 1 species
UACAGAGGGUGCAAGCGUUAAUCGGAAUUACUGGGCGUAAAGCGUGCGUAGACGGUUAUGUAAGUCAGGUGUGAAAGCCCCGGGCUCAACCUGGGAAUUGCAUUUGAGACUGCAUAGCUAGGGUGCGGAAGAGGGAAGCGGAAUUUCCGGUGUAGCGGUGAAAUGCGUAGAUAUCGGAAGGAACAUCAGUGGCGAAAGCGGCUUCCUGGCCCAGCACCGACGUUCAGGCACGAAAGCGUGGGGAGCAAACAGG